AUUGAACGCUGGCGGCAGGCCUAACACAUGCAAGUCGAGCGGAUGAGAAGAGCUUGCUUUUCGAUUCAGCGGCGGACGGGUGAGUAAUGCCUAGGAAUCUGCCUGAUAGUGGGGGACAACGUUUCGAAAGGAACGCUAAUACCGCAUACGUCCUACGGGAGAAAGCAGGGGACCGUUCGGGCCGUUGCGCUAUCAGAUGA
rnacentral:rRNA from 1 species